rnacentral:lncRNA from 1 species
GAUUUUCCUGUUUUAGAAAACUUCUCUGAUACCUAUUCCAGGGUUCAGUGAUUUCUCAUUGAAGCAGAUUCCCUGUUAUCCCCAAAGACUUGAUUUUCUCAGGACAAUGCAUGAGGUCUUCAAGGUGCCCUGUUUUGAGGAUUGAAUCCUGCCACUGGAAGUUUUCUCCACAGUUAGUGAAACAUCACACCAGAGUUGGACUCUGCUGUGCUGAGGCAGCACUCUGGCCUGAGGUGUUCCUGCAGCAGUGCUUCUCCCAGGCAAAUAGGAUAUCCAGGCACCAUCUCUUUGGUUCCGCAUUUUCAGAAUGGUUCAGGGUGACAGCACAAGGAAACAACAAGCUCUCCUUCCUGAUCCCUCCCUCAACGUCAGAUGCCAUCUGAUUCCAUAUCUCAUCGACGGAAAACGAGGAUGAUGAAAAAAGCAAGAGAGGCUGAGAGCACAAAUCAAUACAUGAAUCAGAACAUGAAUCAAAGGAAAGGCAAGAAUGAUAGGGAAGAAUGGAGGAUGGCAGGAAGCCAGCGUCAACGUGCUUUCUGAGAAAGAAUGGAUGAGCUCUCGGGAAAGGAUGGAUGAACCUGGUCCACUUGGAGAGAUUAGGUUUAGGUCUUUGUAAACUUGAGUUCCCCAUUAAUUCUCAGAUGCUUACACUGAUGGAUCCUAAACAUAAAAAAUUCACUGCUAAUGUGGCCAGAAAGAAGUCACAUCAAAGGAUUGAUCUGAAAACAAAACUAAAAGUGAUUAAGGACYGUGAAGGUAAAAAACCAGUGACUUUCAGACACGUCCCAUUCGACCAUAGUGCUAUGGUCCUGAACAACCAGAGCAAAGUGACAGAAGCCAUUAAAGGGUCUGCUUCAUUGAAGGCAGCAAGACUCACAAAAAUUUGAGAAGGGCCUAUGUUAGAUAUAGUGGAACUUUUUAUGACCUGGAUCGAAGACCAGACAAGAGAAGUGUAUCCCUCUCAGCACCAUGGCAAUUCACAGCCAAACAAAGACGAAAAGGCUGGAACCAACCACGAUGUUAAAUUUACUGCUGGCUCUGGGUAGUUUAAAUAAUUCAAGAAUCAUUAAUCAUUACCUAACGUGAAAGUGAGUGACGAGUCUGUGAGAACUUAAGUGAAGUUGGCUGGAAUAUUAUUAUAAACCCGACCUAAGCUGAUGGUGGAGGAAAAUUAUUUGCCAGAGCAAUUGAUGAGCAAUCCAGCAGAGCAAAUCAGAGUAUUGUGACAGAGCAAUAGGCUCUACCGUAUAGCUUAGGUGUGUAUUCCAUCUAGGUAUGUGUAAGUACACACUGAUGCUUGCAUAAAUGAUGAAAUAGACUAAUAACACAUUUCUCAGAACAUAUGACACCAUUAAGUGAUACAUKGCUGUAGAAGAUACGACUUCCAAGUGAUUGCCCUGGGGUCUUAAAUUCUUUUUGCCUCAUUCUUAGUUUAUGAUCAACUUAUUGCCUCAUGGUUUCUACUUACUUAAGACUUUCACUAAUUGACUUCUCUCAGCAUAUUUCUUAUUUGAUUUCUAUUCAUCUUUGUUGUCAGGUUUGUAUUUUGAGUUACAAUCUAUAGACAACUGGGUUGGUGGGACCAGACACUCUCCAGUACAGACUUGUUCUAGUAGGCAGAACUUUCUGCUAGCCUCCCUCAUAAGUCACAGGCCUUCCUUGUGUUCAGCUAUAUUUGGCAUAGCAUCCAUCACUGAUUGAUAGUUAUGAAUAAUCUUAUAAGAUCAUAUGACCCACAUCAUGAUACAAUAGCAAGAUUUGUUAUGUCACUAAGUGCAUUUAGUCAUGUUCAUUCAUUUACUAAAUAUUUACUGAGUGUCUACUCUGUGACAGGCACUGUUUUUGGCACAUGGAAUUUAUUCAUGAAAAAAGAAUAAAGAUUCCUUCUCUCAUGGACCUUACA